rnacentral:misc_RNA from 1 species
GAAAUGCGAUAAGUAAUGUGAAUUGCAGAAUUCAGUGAAUCAUCGAAUCUUUGAACGCACCUUGCGCUCCUUGGUAUUCCUUGGAGCAUGCCUGUUUGAGUAUCAUGAAAUCUUCAAAGUAAAUCUUUUGUUAACUCAAUUGGUUUCUACUUUGGUAUUGGAGGUCUUUGCAGCUUCACACCUGCUACUCUUUGUUCAUUAGCUGGAUCUCAGUGUUAUGCUUGGUUCCACUCGGCGUGAUAAGUUAUCUAUCGCUGAGGACACUGUAAAAGGUGGCCAAGGUAAAUGCAGAUGAACCGCUUCUAAUAGUCCAUUGACUUGGACAAUACUUUUAUGAUCUGAUCUCAAAUCAGGUAGGCCUACCCGCUGAACUUAAGC